AUUGAACGCUGGCGGCAGGCUUAACACAUGCAAGUCGAGCGGGGUGAUGGUGCUUGCACUAUCACUUAGCGGCGGACGGGUGAGUAAUGCUUAGGAAUCUGCCUAUUAGUGGGGGACAACAUCUCGAAAGGGAUGCUAAUACCGCAUACGUCCUACGGGAGAAAGCAGGGGAUCACUUGUGACCUUGCGCUAAUAGAUGAGCCUAAGUCGGAUUAGCCAGUUGGCGGGGUAAAGGCCUACCAAGGCGACGAUCUGUAGCGGGUCUGAGAGGAUGAUCCGCCACACUGGGACUGAGACACGGCCCAGACUCCUACGGGAGGCAGCAGUGGGGAAUAUUGGACAAUGGGGGGAACCCUGAUCCAGCCAUGCCGCGUGUGUGAAGAAGGCCUUAUGGUUGUAAAGCACUUUAAGCGAGGAGGAGGCUCUUUUGGUUAAUACCCAAGAUGAGUGGACGUUACUCGCAGAAUAAGCACCGGCUAACUCUGUGCCAGCAGCCGCCGUAA
rnacentral:rRNA from 1 species